rnacentral:rRNA from 1 species
UACGUAGGGGGCUAGCGUUGUCCGGAAUCAUUGGGCGUAAAGCGCGCGUAGGCGGCCCGGUAAGUCCGCUGUAAAAGUCCAGGGCUCAACCCUGGAACGCCGGUGGAUACUGUCGGGCUAGAGUCCGGAAGAGGCGAGUGGAAUUCCUGGUGUAGCGGUGGAAUGCGCAGAUAUCAGGAGGAACACCAAUUGCGAAGGCAGCUCGCUGGGACGUUACUGACGCUGAGACGCGAAAGCGUGGGGAGCAAACAGG